rnacentral:misc_RNA from 1 species
AUUUUUUUAUCAUUCUCUGCAAUCCGGCAUUGUCGUUACUCGUCACUGGACACGUGGACACUACCUCCGUCACAUUACAGAUUCCAUCCCCGACUGAACAAGCACUGAAACCGGGCAAUACCCAGAUCCUUCUCUAGCUCUACCUCCACCUACUCGUUAUCCAGAUCCCAAAAAUUUCCACUUUACAUCCACAUCCCAACAAUGGGCGGUAAAUCCUAUGUUUUUUUGUUUGCUUGGUUUUCUCGGAAAAGGGUUUCUAAUGAUAGCAAGUGAUGAUUCCACAGGUACCAAAUCGGGUUGCCAUAGUUCCAGUCUAUGGCUGUCUCCUAACCGCAGUAAGAGAUGGGGAGAGCUUUUCUUCCUUUGCUAUACUCCUUUCUGGCUUACUCUCUGUCUGGGCAUUGUGGUUCCCUACAAGCUCUAUGAGAGCUUUACGGAAUUGGAGUAUUUGCUUCUGGCUAUGGUUUCGGCAGUUCCUUCUUUAUUGAUACCAAUGAUGUUUGUUGGAAAGGCUGAUAGUGGCUUGAGGUGGAAGGACCGUUAUUGGGUCAAGGCCAGCCUGUGGAUAAUCAUUUUCAGCUAUGUUGGAAAUUACUUUUGGACACACUAUUUCUUUACAGUUUUGGGAGCUUCUUAUACAUUUCCAUCAUGGAAGAUGAAUGAUGUACCCCACACAACUUUCCUUCUUACACAUGUUUGCUUCCUGUUUUACCAUGUCGCCUCAAAUAUGACACUUCGCAGACUGCGGCAUGCUAUUGCAGACUUGCCAGAUAAACUUCAGUGGACUACUAAGGCAGCAUGGAUUUUGGCUCUUGCAUAUUUUAUAGCAUACCUGGAGACUAUAGCCAUUUCUAAUGUAUGUGCUAACUUGGUUCUUAGUCUACGUUAUUAUUUAGAACUUUUUUUUAUCUAACCAUAAAAGAAGCACAUUUCAGGCUAAUAUAUAGAUUGGCCAAUAGAGAAUAUGCUCUGUUUUAUAUCGCCAGGGCUUUAGUUUUAUCUCUUAAUAGUCAUGAAGCUCCUUGAUUUGUGGCAUGAGCUUAUAGAAAGCUAACCCUAGUGCUCAUUGUCCUCCUCAUUUUGUUAUGUUCCUUUUUUUUUUCUCUUUUGGGUGAUAGGGGGUGGUUUCCAUCCUUAACUAGAUGUGUGGAUUUUUUUAGAUUUCAUUUUAUACGAUGCUAUGCACAGUCUUUGUAGUUGGUGUAAUUCAUAACAAUUCUGGUUUUCUGUAAAAUUACUACCACUCUUGAAGUCUUAACUGUGCAACUUGUUGCUAACAUGUGAAUUAAGGCGUCAUUUGUAUCACGGAAAAUAAAUUAUAUGUGGAAAAUGUUUUUCAUGACAAUUGUGUUAUAAUAAAAUGUUUUCCAUUGUUUAGUUGCUAUGUUUAACGAAUAAUAUGUGUUUAUGCCAUGCCUGUAUGAGUGUUUUUACAUUUUAAUAAAAUUGUCAAAAUCCAUGAAAUGGCUUAUUCUUUUCAAAAGAAGAAGUUAUUUUCUUAAACAUGACUUAAUUUUCCUUUUGAGAAAAAAAAAAAAUUUCCAUUGAUUCAUUUUUCUAAACACUGGAAAAUGCGAAAAAUAUUUUCCACAAAACAAACUCAAUCUAAGGCAUUGACAAACGUUAUGUUUUGAAUGUGUGCAGUUUCCUUACUAUGAAUUUGUGGACCGGGCUUCCAUGUACAAAGUUGGGUCCUUGUUUUAUGCCAUCUACUUCAUUGUAAGCUUCCCAAUGUUUCUGAGGUAAGAAGUAAACCUACUAAGAAAUUUUGAAUAUCUGGUCAUUUCUGUAGCUUGUAAUGCCUUUCGGUAUGCUAAUAUCAUUUGCAUUGUAGGAUAUGCAUGAUAACUAUUGACACUACAUACAUGUGUUAAUUUGUGGAAAUUAUGGAAUGAUAUUCUCAGCUUAAUCUGCUUCAGCUCAUGGUAAAAUUUGUAAUGUUGUGUUCGUGCAGUUAGUGAUGUUACAUGGUCCCCUUGUACUGUAUUUAUUGGUGUUAAAAAGGAUGGUUCAUGAUAUUUUUUUUUUCUUUCUUUAAAAAACACAAUGAUAAGAAAACAUCAAGUUGAAAAAAGGAAAAUGGAAUGAUUGGAGUAAAGAGGUAGUCUGACUCUUUCUUUUGGGAUUCACUGAUGCACACAGGAUCGAUGAGAAACCUGGUGACCUGUGGGACUUACCAAGAGUGGCUGUCGAUGCUCUGGGUGCUGCAAUGCUAGUAACAAUAAUACUUGACUUGUGGAGAAUCUUUCUUGGACCCAUUGUUCCACAACGCGAUGCAAAACAAUGCCUUCAACAAGGACUGCCAUGGUUUCAUGGACAUGCCAAUGAAACUUGAUUACUGUAACUCACUGUGGAAGUUUCCUGCUCUUGAUGUUGUAAAUUUAACUGUAACUUGCUAAUUUAUAUGAGACCAGUGGCUAUUUCCAUAUCAUGGAUGCUUCAGCUUAGGCUUGCUUGCCCUGAAAUUUACAACAGUAAUUUUCAUGACUGAUGUUUUGUCCAAUUAAUAAUUUUUGAUGUUUGUUAAUCAGCUCUUAUUGGUAAACUAAUUACGUGAAAUCAAAGUUGUGAAUUUC